AACGAACGCUGGCGGCAGGCUUAAAACAUGCAAGUCGACCGCCCCGCAAGGGGAGCGGCAGACGGGGGAGUAACGCGGGGGAAUCAACCCAUCCUAACGGAAAAAGGCAUGGAACGGUUUGCUAAUACGGUUUACGUCCUUCGGGAGAAAGAUUUUUCGGAGAUGGAUGGGCCGGCGUGGGAUUAGCUAGUUGGGGGGGUAAAGGCCUACAAAGGCGACGAUCCAUAGCUGGUCUGAGAGAAUGAUAAGCCACACUGGGACUGAGACAAGGCCCAGACUCCUACGGGAGGCAGAAGUGGGGAAGAUUGGACAAUGGGCGCAAGCCUGAUCCAGCCAUGCCGCGUGAGUGAUGAAGGCCCUAGGGUUGUAAAGCUCUUUCACCGGUGAAGAUAAUGACGGUAACCGGAGAAGAAGCCCCGGCUAACUUCGUGCCAGCCGCCGCCGUAACAC
rnacentral:rRNA from 1 species